GUGCCAGCAGCCGCGGUAAUACGUAGGUGGCAAGCGUUAUCCGGAAUUAUUGGGCGUAAAGCGCGCGUAGGCGGUUUUUUAAGUCUGAUGUGAAAGCCCACGGCUCAACCGUGGAGGGUCAUUGGAAACUGGAAAACUUGAGUGCAGAAGAGGAAAGUGGAAUUCCAUGUGUAGCGGUGAAAUGCGCAGAGAUAUGGAGGAACACCAGUGGCGAAGGCGACUUUCUGGUCUGUAACUGACGCUGAUGUGCGAAAGCGUG
rnacentral:rRNA from 1 species